GCUGGGCGUGGUGGAGGAGGCCUGUAAUCCCAGUGGCUCAGGAGGCUGAGACAGGAGGAUCCCAAGUUCAAAGCUAGCCUCAGCAAAAGCAAGGCACUAAGCAACUCAGUGAGACUCUGUCUCUA
rnacentral:sRNA from 1 species